GCGGUACAUUCAGUUCAGUAUAAAUUGAUUCAAUUUUCCGUUCAAUCUCAUAUUCAAGUUAUUGCAACUAGUCAAAGAUGAAGUAUACACUGGUGAUCAUCGCUCUGGCAUUAUUGGUUCAUUCGGUUGUCUCGAUGCCGGAUCCUAGCUCUGUCCAAGAUUGCCCGCCGUGCACUUGCGAUCCCUGUAAUCCACAACCAUUACAUCCGCGGCCGCAAUGUCAAUGCCACUGCAGGAAUCCAACCGGACCGUUUUAUUGUUAGAUGGCAUUGCUGUCGUUAAUUUUUCGUUUGCUAACGAAAUUUAUCAAAGAUAAAAGUGUAUGGAAGCAACUAACGAACUUAAUAAAACGCAAAAAAUAUUUAUUCUGAAAAAA